AUGGUACUGUAGAUACCUUGAAUCAGGGUGAUAUCAGGGGUUCUUCACAUCGAAAUACCUCAGACCAGUGUGGUAUCGAGGGUAGCUCAAGUCAGUAAGCUAUCUUGAUGGUUGCCAACCCAAACAUUGAGGUGAAUUAGGUGGAGCUGAGUUAUUUACAUCCAGAUCUAUGGUGCAUCUCAUUUGGCUUGAGCAUCCUCAAUUACCUCGACUGGACAGUUUUCUAGAUCGGACAGAAGCAGUAUAAGUCUGCUGGUUGGGCCUCGGGUCGAAUCUGAUCUUAGGUAACUUAGGACCUUAAUUAAAUUGGUCUUAAGGGGCUAAUCUAUGGUUUGAACUGGGUUUAAGUUCGAAGGGUGAGUGUAUAGCAAUACAUGGGUGUACAUGGGCUCGGUGAGUGCACAAUAGGUUAGCUAUUGGGAGUUUUGUUGAGUGACCC
rnacentral:lncRNA from 1 species